UACGGAGGGUGCAAGCGUUAAUCGGAAUUACUGGGCGUAAAGCGCACGCAGGUGGCUGAGAAAGUCGAUUGUGAAAGCCCUGGGCUUAACCUGGGAAUUGCAGUCGAAACUACUCAGCUAGAGUAUGGGAGAGGGCCGUGGAAUUCCCGGUGUAGCGGUGAAAUGCGUAGAUAUCGGGAGGAACAUCAGUGGCGAAGGCGGCUGCCUGGCCCAAUACUGACACUCAGGUGCGAAAGCGUGGGGAGCUAACAGG
rnacentral:rRNA from 1 species